GGGUAGUCCAUUGCCUGUUGCCAUGCCAGUGUUUUGCCCUGUCAGAGACCAGUAUUCUACAUAAAAAAGAUCUUACACAUCCAAACUUGAGGCAUUUACACACCCCACCCACGGCUACAAAGAAAGCUGCCUUGUGUCUAUGUAAAAGAGCCUGGACCUAUAAAGAAAUAACUCAUUUAAAGGCAAACUUCUUAUGGAUUAGGGCAAGGUUACAGAGCUGGGUAAAAUUCUUAACAGACUUUAAAACACUGUAUGAAUCAGGGGUGGUUUUUUGUCAUUCAACAGGGUAAAGACAAACAGAAGCAAGCCUCUGAUCUGGAAAAUUGUCUUUCAACUGUUAAGAUCAUGGACUGCUGCACAGACAAAUUUUUCUGCUUUAAGAGUAAAUCUUGGCAUGAAUUUAUAAAUGAGCAACACAGGGAGCAGAAAGGUGCCAACAGUAGGUUAGAAGUGGAAAAAGAAGCAGCAGUAUGGGAACUUUUCACUAGUGAAUGCACUUACUUUCUGGAUCAUUUGCUGGUUCUCAAGAAGAUAUUUAUGAACACUCUAAAAUACCUCCAGAAUAAUGAAUUUCUCUUGGAUGUGGAUUUGUGGAGACUUUUUGCAAACUUAGAGGAGUUAAACAAGAUAAGUCUCAGUUUUCUGAAAACAUUUUUUGAAACGGUGAAGAAGCA
rnacentral:lncRNA from 12 species